CGCAGCUUCAUUAACAUUCUCUCUUCCUCGUGCGGCUGAUGGCGGUCGGCCGUGCGGCGGCGGCGGGAGAGAAUCCGGCCUGUUUUUAGGCUCGUUUAUGGGUUAAAGAACCAGAAAUAAGAACACUUUGAUAAGGUGAUGGAUGCUCUGCGGGAUUGUUGUGGCAGAGGUCAUUGUUGAUACUCAAAAUUUUUCAAAUGUUUGUUUUUCAUGUGGAAAGACUGACUUCCAAUUGAGAUGCACUGAGCUGUUUCCAUUAAGUUACGUCGGUGAAAUUAAAUAAAAUUUUACAAACG